AAAAUCCGUCGAUUUUUAAUCAUGAGGGUUCAAGUCCCCUCAUCCCCA
rnacentral:tRNA from 1 species